rnacentral:lncRNA from 1 species
CUUUCGCGUCUGCGGUGCCCGGAGUGUGGUACUUCUCCUAGUUGCAGUCAGGCUUCAUACGCUAUUGUCCUGCCCGUUAGAGCAGCCAGCGGGUACAGAAUGGAUUUUGGAAGAGGGAGUCACCACUGGACCUCCAAGGAAGCCACGUGCAGACAUCUACAACCUUCGAUCUCCUGACGAAAACUGGCGAUGGAAUAUGAGAGGAGCCCUCUGGAAAGAAAAGGACAGACCCUGUGCUUUCAUGAAAGUGAAGAUCUGGCUGAACCAGUUCCACAAGGUUACUGUAUACAUAGCCUGAGUUUAAAAGGCUGUGCCCACUUCAAGAAUGUCAUUGUUAGACUUUGAAAUUUCUAACUGCCUACCUGCAUAAAGAAAAUAAAAUCUUUUAAAUCAAAA